AAAAUGCCUGGAAAGAAACAAAAAUUGGGCUGGGAGAAGAUGAGCUGUUCUAGAAGGCCUUUCUGAGCCAAGGAGGAAUAUUCCUUUGCUCUUCCUGAUACUCUACAAAUUCACAGCCCCCCAGACACUUUUGCCUUUAGAAAAGAGCUGCUUUCUAUGUCUGCUGUGACCAAAGUCACUCAACUCUCCCAAAUUGUAGGAGCAACUUUGGAGGGAAGGUUGAACACCUGAUCUUCCUGUAAAAGCUGCAUUUUGUUUGGAAGUUGCUCGACACAUCCCAGGCUCAUGUUUGUGUCUGUCCAUCACCAAGUCCUUAAGAGAUGUAAUAAAAGCAGGAGUGGAACAGCAGAUCUCCAGCUUUCAUCUGCCCAGCACACUUCCUCUCUGGAACCCAACCGUAGGGCCCUGUUAAAGACUGAGAAUCCCUUUCACAGGAACUGUUGGUUUUAUCACCAAAGUCAUCACUUAAAACACUGCUGGGAUUUCUUAGGGGGGGGAAGAAAGAGCUGAAUCAGGUUUUUCAGGAGAAUGGGCCUCUGUUCAAGAGGAGAUGAAGGAUAUUUCAUCAGGACAGUGGAAAACUUGGUGUGUCAGUGCUGGGAUGAAGGUCAUCUGCUGAUUGCACGUUAUCUUGAAAGGAGGAAUUGGUGCAGGUUACCAAAAAUCUCUGUUUUCCCCUCAGCUUUGAGCUGUUAGUGCCUCCUGUUUUCAGAUGCUUUCACUGACAUCUGGCAGUGAUUUAAACACUGACUCACAUUCUGUCAAAAAUGUCAGUAAAAGUGACCUUCAGCAUUAAAAUUCUCAUUUGUUUCUCUUUCCAGUAAUUUUUAUGGGAGAAAAUGGAAUAUUCCUGGUUCAAAUGGCCAGUUACUGUUUCCCAAGCAGUUUUCAGCACUCUGUUUUGUCCAUCCCCGUGGCUGAGAUGUGCACUCCACACAAGAAAAAGACUUUGCAUUUCUAAUUCCGUCCUGCCAACUCUGGUUCAUCCUGGCUCUUGCUGAUUCUUCAUUCCAAAUGUUUGAGGAGUCGAUGUGGUUGUGUCAGAAAUAUGAAACAGCUCUAUUCCUCAUAACCAACAGCAGUGGCAUUUGGAGCUGCCUGGAACCGGUGCUGCUCCCUGAGGUUUUGAGGGGUGAGUUGGGUUUAGAUG